GGUUGGCAUCAGACAUCAACACGCAAUGUUCCUUUAUCCAAGAAGCAGAAGAAUAUUUCUUAUUCAAGAGUCAUUUCAAGGAAGUCCAAACUCUCCAAAGCCACAAAUUUCUUUAGAUGAGUUUUUUCAUUCUGCUCUGUUCUAAAACUUCGGAAGAGUUAAGGUAAUAUCAACAUUUGUCAUAGAGCUGCAUGAAAGCCAAAAAAUAAAUAUUGUUAAUAUGUUGCUGCAAGUUCGUUUACGUGAUCCAGAAUUGAGCACAUCAGUACGAAGAGCAGAAAUUUCGACAUGUGCCAAUUAGAAUGGUAUCCCAGUUCCCAGGGGUUCAUGUAUUUAUGAAGCACACUUUAAGGCAGCUUAUAGGGUUCCUACCUGAAGAAAUGAAAAUAUUGUGCGACAGGAAAUCAGAACAAAAAGAAAUAACAUGCAAAUAUACUGUAGGCCUACCAUUCAAAUGAUGUACAAAUGACGUACAGUGGCGGCCAGCGCAACCUGCUAGAGAAGAAGAAAAUUUAAGUCAAGUCUAGUUAAGUCUAACAUUCAAAAAUAAAAAUUGCAGGAGCUAAAUACAUUGUACACAACAGUCGGGCGAUACACUGUUACAAGACAAAAUGAUUAGGAGUCGAGUUCAUGCGUCUUCGUCGUUUCCCCGCUUAUAUGCAGGUCCGAAUUUCGCCAUGUAUUUCUUAAUAAAAUCCUUUGCUUUAUG